CUACGGGCGGCAGCAGUGGGGAAUAUUGCGCAAUGGGCGAAAGCCUGACGCAGCAACGCCGCGUGAGGGAUGACGGCCUUCGGGUUGUAAACCUCUUUCAGCAGGGAAGAAGCGAAAGUGACGGUACCUGCAGAAGAAGCACCGGCUAACUACGUGCCAGCAGCCGGGGUAAUACGUAGGGUGCAAGCGUUGUCCGGAUUUAUUGGGCGUAAAGAGCUCGUAGGCGGUUAGUCACGUCGGAUGUGAAAUCCCAAGGCUUAACCUUGGGCCUGCAUUCGAUACGGGCUGACUAGAGUGUUGUAGGGGAGACUGGAACUCCUGGUGUAGCGGUGAAAUGCGCAGAUAUCAGGAAGAACACCGGUGGCGAAGGCGGGUCUCUGGGCAACUACUGACGCUGAGGAGCGAAAGCGUGGGGAGCAAACAGGAUUAGAUACCCCUGUAGUC
rnacentral:rRNA from 1 species